rnacentral:lncRNA from 1 species
UCAUUUGAAACUUGAGGAAAAUCUCUAAACACUUUCAUUUUGAUAGAAACCAUUUCCGCCGCUGACGUGCGUCUACGCCCAUCAUUUCAGCUGACACGUUGCUGUAACGUCUCCUCCGUUUCAUGCUCUUUCGAACCCUGUCAGCUGCGGCGGCCACUUUCUUCCCCAGGAAGGAACUUCUAAACUAAAAGCUGGCAAGACUCAGCAGAAAAAAAAUAUCGAAAGCUGCUUCUGCUGCCCCAGCUUCACUCAGGCCCUGGCUGCUCCUUCACUGGUCUACACUGCUGCCUCCUGGAACCACCCACUCUGCAACCAGGUCUGAUGCCCGGUGUGGACAUUCAGGGAUGAGGUCCCCUGGGGCUAAAUGAAUGAACAGAUUCUGAAAAGCAGAAGCUACGUCCGGGGGUCUCUGGGCCACAAAUCACUUUCUGACCUGCAGCCGUGAGGCGUGAGGCUCACUCGGAAGCUCCCGGAACCUGGAGACUGCCCUCACUCAACACUUGAACAAGCAAGGGGCCAGGUUCAAUGAAACACCUGCCCGCCCGGCACACCAGGCUCAAAAGCAAGCAAGCAAGCAAACAAACAAACAAAAUCAAAUCAGGCCUUCACAACUCCCCAAAUCAUGUGUGAGUUUCUACAGAGCAGAAGCCAAAAAUAUAUGUUAUCUAACUAGGUCCUAUUUACAUAUAUUUUUAUGGCUGCUCUAAAAAAUUAUCACAAACAUAGCGGCUUCACCCCGUUUCCCCUGUUGUGAUUAUUACACAUUGGAUGCCUGUAUCAAAAUAUCUCAUGGACCCCAUAAAUAGCAACACCCUGUAUGUAC